rnacentral:rRNA from 1 species
CCCUUAGAUGUUCUGGGCCGCGCGCGCGCUACACUGAUGCAUUCAACGAGUUACCUUGGCCGAGAGGCCUGGGCAAUCUUUUGAACGUGCAUCGUGAUAGGGAUAGAUUAUUGCAAUUAUUAAUCUUGAACGAGGAAUUCCUAGUAAACGCAGUUCAUCAAACUGCAUUGAUUACGUCCCUGCCCUUUGUACACACCGCCCGUCGCACCUACCGAUUGGAUGGUCCGGUGAAGCCUCGGGAUUGUGGCCAGUGCCUUUUUGGUUUUGGUUGCGAGAACUUGUCUAAACCUUAUCAUCUAGAGGAAGGUGAAGUCGUAACA